UACAGAGGGUGCAAGCGUUAAUCGGAAUUACUGGGCGUAAAGCGUGCGUAGACGGUUACGUAAGUCGGGUGUGAAAGCCCCGGGCUCAACCUGGGAAUUGCAUUCGAGACUGCGUAGCUAGGGUGCGGAAGAGGGAAGCGGAAUUUCCGGUGUAGCGGUGAAAUGCGUAGAUAUCGGAAGGAACACCAGUGGCGAAAGCGGCUUCCUGGUCCAGCACCGACGUUCAGGCACGAAAGCGUGGGGAGCAAACAGG
rnacentral:rRNA from 1 species